UGGGGAAUUUUCCGCAAUGGGCGAAAGCCUGACGGGGCAACGCCGCGUGAGGGAGGAAGGCUCUUGGGUUGUAAACCUCUUUUCUCAAGGAAGAUAAUGACGGUACUUGAGGAAUCAGCAUCGGCUAACUCCGUGCCAGCAGCCGCGGUAAUACGGAGGAGGCAAGCGUUAUCCGGAAUUAUUGGGCGUAAAGCGUCCGCAGGUGGUGAUUCAAGUCCGCUGUCAAAGACCGGGGCUCAACCCUGGGUCGGCAGUAGAAACUGAAGCACUAGAGUUCGGUAGGGGUAGAGGGAAUUCCCAGUGUAGCGGUGAAAUGCGUAGAGAUUGGGAAGAACACCAGUGGCGAAAGCGCUCUACUGGGCCGAGACUGACACUCAGGGACGAAAGCUAGGGGAGCGAAAGGGAUUAGAUACCCCCGUAGUCC
rnacentral:rRNA from 1 species